rnacentral:RNase_P_RNA from 1 species
AAGUCCGGGCUCCACAGGGCAAGGAUAACGGGUAACGCCCGCCGAAGGCAACUUCAGGAAAAGUGCAACAGAGAGAUACCGCCCCGCAUGCACGGGGUAAGGGUGGAAAGGUGCGGUAAGAGCGCACCCGACGGCUCGAGAGUGUCCGCCGAUGUAAACUCUAUCCGGAGCAACACCGCAGAGGAGGCAAGGCCGGCCCGGCUGCUUCCGAGAAGGUGGCUGGAGCGUAUCGGCAACGGUACGCCUAGAUAGAUGACUGUCUGCAACAGAACCCGGCUUAUAGAUCCGAU